rnacentral:rRNA from 1 species
CUCGUGGAGGACCGAACCCACUUCAGUUGAAAAUGGAGGGGAUGAGUUGUGGAUAGGGGUGAAAGGCCAAUCAAACACCGUGAUAGCUGGUUCUCCCCGAAAUGCAUUUAGGUGCAGCGUUGCGUGGUUCUUGUUGGAGGUAGAGCACUGGAUGGUCUAGGGGGCUUAUCGGCUUACCGAAAUCAGCCAAACUCCGAAUGCUGGCAAGUGUAGCGUGGCAGUGAGACGGCGG